rnacentral:rRNA from 1 species
GGUUCGGCCGGGCUUUUCCCUCUGGGGAGCCCUAUGCCCUUCACUGGGUGUAGUGGGGAACCAGGACUUUUACUGUGAAAAAAUUAGAGUGUUCAAAGCAGGCCUAUGCUCGAAUACAUCAGCAUGGAAUAAUAGAAUAGGACGUGUGGUUCUAUUUUGUUGGUUUCUAGGACCGCCGUAAUGAUUAAUAGGGACAGUCGGGGGCAUCAGUAUUCAAUUGUCAGAGGUGAAAUUCUUGGAUUUAUUGAAGACUAACUACUGCGAAAGCAUUUGCCAAGGAUGUUUUCAUUAAUCAGGAACGAAAGUUAGGGGAUCGAAGACGAUCAGAUACCGUCGUAGUCUUAACCAUAAACUAUGCCGACUAGGGAUCGGACGAUGUUAUUUUUUGACUCGUUCGGCA